rnacentral:rRNA from 1 species
AGUGAACGCUGGCGGUAGGCCUAACACAUGCAAGUCGAACGGCAGCACCGUAAGAGCUUGCUCUUACGGGUGGCGAGUGGCGGACGGGUGAGGAAUACAUCGGAAUCUACUUUUUCGUGGGGGAUAACGUAGGGAAACUUACGCUAAUACCGCAUACGACCUACGGGUGAAAGCAGGGGAUCUUCGGACCUUGCGCGAUUGAAUGAGCCGAUGUCGGAUUAGCUAGUUGGCGGGGUAAAGGCCCACCAAGGCGACGAUCCGUAGCUGGUCUGAGAGGAUGAUCAGCCACACUGGAACUGAGACACGGUCCAGACUCCUACGGGAGGCAGCAGUGGGGAAUAUUGGACAAUGGGCGCAAGCCUGAUCCAGCCAUACCGCGUGGGUGAAGAGGGCCUUCGGGUUGUAAAGCCCUUUUGUUGGGAAAGAAAAGCAGCAGGUUAAUACCCCGCUGUUCUGACGGUACCCAAAGAAUAAGCACCGGCUAACUUCGUG